rnacentral:tRNA from 1 species
GCUGGUAUAGUGUAGUGGUUAGCACAUUGGACUUUGAAUCCAAUAACCUGAGUUCGACUCUCAGUAUCAGCU